rnacentral:rRNA from 1 species
GAUGAACGCUGGCGGCGUGCCUAAUACAUGCAAGUCGAACGCAUUGAGAGAAGUGCUUGCACUUUUCAAUUUGAGUGGCGAACGGGUGAGUAGCACGUGGGCAACCUACCUGAUAGCGGGGGAUAACGAGUGGAAACAUUCGCUAAUACCGCAUAACAAUAGAGAAGGCAUCUUCUUUAUUUAAAAGGCGCUUUCAAGCGUCACUAUCAGAUGGGCCCGCGGUGCAUUAGUUAGUUGGUGGGGUGAAGGCCUACCAAGACGAUGAUGCAUAGCCGAGUUGAGAGACUGAUCGGCCACAUUGGGACUGAGACACGGCCCAAACUCCUACGGGAGGCCGCAGUAGGGAAUCUUCCACAAUGGACGAAAGUCUGAUGGAGCAACGCCGCGUGUGUGAUGAAGGCUUUCGGGUCGUAAAGCACUGUUGUAUGGGAAGAAAUGCUAGGCUAGGAAAUGAGCUUAGUUUGACGGUACCAUACCAGAAAGGGACGGCUAAAUACGUGCCAGCCGCCGCGGUAA